UACGUAGGGUGCGAGCGUUGUCCGGAAUUACUGGGCGUAAAGAGCUCGUAGGUGGUUUGUCGCGUUGUUCGUGAAAUCUCACGGCUUAACUGUGAGCGUGCGGGCGAUACGGGCAGACUAGAGUACUGCAGGGGGAGACUGGAAUUCCUGGUGUAGCGGUGGAAUGCGCAGAUAUCAGGAGGAACACCGGUGGCGAAGGCGGGGUCUCUGGGCAGUAACUGACGCUGAGGAGCGAAAAGCGUGGGGGAGCGAACAGG
rnacentral:rRNA from 1 species